AGGAGAAUGCAAGUAACAUCAAACUGUAUUGUCCUGAUUUGAGCUAUAUCAAAAAUUGCCAGAGGGAGGCACUGGUGUGUUUCAGAGCUGAACUAAACGUCCUGGAUUUUGAAUAUGAUGGAACUUCGAAGCAGGGAGUCACUGAAUCCAUAUCCAAAUUAAAACAAUCUUUCGAUUCGUAUCUCUCUCAUCUGGUAAGUUUGACUGUGAAGUCCUGCCCUCCUACACAAUUGUUAAAUUGCUGAAACCACAGCCAAUUGAGAUAACAAAGUGUAGAGCUGGAUGAACACAGCAGGCCAAGCAGCAUCAGAGGAGCAAGAAGGCUGACGUUUCGGGCCUAGACCCUUCUUCAGAAUUGCUUGUUUAUAAGUGACGGCUGUGGACCACCCUAAAAGGGAUAUGACUCACAUAUCAUGACCUUCAUUGCAAAGAAUACAUCAAAAAGCUGCCAUCAUUGUGAGUUCUAUGAAGAGAAACCUCUGACCGAGUUUCUAGCCAGUUUGAUGACAUUUAUGCAGUUUCACAACAAAAACCCUCAUCAUAACUACAGUGAGUGACAUUCCAAAGGUCCCUCACCAGCUGUAAAGGACUGAGGAGCAUGUUGAGGUGGUGAAAGUUGCUAUGGAAACGGAACCCCUUUUUGCCCAUGAUAUCUCCGAAUGGAUUUAAAGAGAAUGGGUUUCCUGUAGACGACGGAGAGAAAGAACAUUCUGGAAAAGAGAUGCUGUUGUUGUUGACGAUGGCUCUGACACGUAAAUAUUGACAGCUGGCAACUUCGAUUAAGAUGAGCGCAGAUGAUCCCCAACAUGGUGGCUGUGGAAUAAGGUGAGCAGCCAAUUCAAUCAAAUAGUUAAAAGCAUGUAUUUACAGUCACGUUCCUCCUAUUCCUGCCUGUUUCUCCGGAGCGUCUGGCCUGAUCUCGUUAGUUCCCUCCAUUGUGAGUUGGAGCCAUUCUCUACAAUACGCUUCCAGAAGCUCAGUGCCAAAUAGGAUAAAGACCAUAAGGCACAGGAAUAGCUAACCAUUCGGCCCAUCGAGUCUGCUUCACCAUUCAAUCAUGAAUGAUAUAGUUCUCAACCCCAUUCU